rnacentral:misc_RNA from 1 species
CAACCCUCAAGCUCGGCUUGUGUGAUGGGCGACCGUCCUUCCCUUAGGGGCGGGACGCGUCCGAAAAGCAGUGGCUAGGCCGCGACUCCGGCGCCUGAGCGAAUGGGAUUUCCAACGCUUAUAGGACCGGCCGGCUUCUUUGGCCUUAUAAUCUAGAUCUUUAUUGAUCUAUCUA